AAUUCUCAACUCUCCUGUACUUUGUUGUAAAGGAGAGCUUGGACUGUGGAGGCUUGCUGGCCACUUGUUGAGGUCAGCUCCUCUGAAAUGCAUUAGCGGAACCAUUUGCGAUCUGCCACAAGUGUGAUAAAUUAUCUACACUAGCGAGGGGAUUGCUCUCAGUGUUCAGCUUCUAAUCGUCCUCAUUUUGCUGGACAAUUUCUUGAAU
rnacentral:misc_RNA from 1 species